UACAGAGGGUGCGAGCGUUGUUCGGAAUUAUUGGGCGUAAAGGGCGCGUAGGCGGCGCCACAAGUCACUUGUGAAAACUCUGGGCUCAACUCAGAGCCUGCAAGCGAAACUGUGGUGCUGGAGUAUGGGAGAGGUGCGUGGAAUUCCCGGUGUAGCGGUGAAAUGCGCAGAUAUCAGGAAGAACACCCGUGGCGAAGGCGGGUCUCUGGGCCGAUACUGACGCUGAGGAGCGAAAGCGUGGGGAGCGAACAGG
rnacentral:rRNA from 1 species